rnacentral:rRNA from 1 species
CCUACGGGAGGCAGCAGUGGGGAAUAUUGGGCAAUGGGCGCAAGCCUGACCCAGCAACGCCGCGUGAAGGAAGAAGGCUUUCGGGUUGUAAACUUCUUUUAUCAGGGACGAAGCAAGUGACGGUACCUGAUGAAUAAGCCACGGCUAACUACGUGCCAGCAGCCGCGGUUAUACGUAGGUGGCAAGCGUUAUACGGAUUUACUGGGGGUAAAGGGCGAGUAGGCGGGAGUUCAAGUCAGAUGUGAAAACUAUGGGAUCAACCCAUGGCCUGCAUUUGAAACUGUACUUCUUGAGUGCUGGAGAGGCAAUCGGAAUUCCGUGUGUAGCGGUGAAAUGCGUAGAUAUACGGAGGAACACCAGUGGCGAAGGCGGAUUGCUGGACAGUAACUGACGCUGAGGCGCGAAAGCGUGGGGAGCAAACAGGAUUAGAUACCCGAGUAGUC